rnacentral:lncRNA from 1 species
UUUUGAAGGGCAAAACCGUGAGGGCAUUGGUCUCCCCCCGUCAGCGUUGGACGCGCGGGCCGGAGCGCCCAAAGCGGACAAUACCUCGGGAGGAACGCAGUCCUCUUUCUCUGCUAGCUUAAUGUGGGCUAUGCUGUUGCGUGAGGCUCCGGCCAAAGCGCCGUCCCCGCAAUAGAUGGCGCCGUCUGUGGGAAAGGCCCCCUUCGCCGUUGACUACCCCCCAGGACUGGGAGGCGCCACAGGAACCUUCCCGCUAGGGGGGCUAUGUUGCGGGGGGGGGAACCUGAACAUAGUCCCACAUCGGCCUAGUAGCGGAAAGGUUCUG